AUACGGAGGAUGCGAGCGUUAUCCGGAUUUAUUGGGUUUAAAGGGAGCGUAGGUGGGAUAUUAAGUCAGCUGUGAAAGUUUGGGGCUCAACCGUAAAAUUGCAGUUGAAACUGGCAGUCUUGAGUACAGUAGAGGUGGGCGGAAUUCGUGGUGUAGCGGUGAAAUGCUUAGAUAUCACGAAGAACUCCGAUUGCGAAGGCAGCUCACUAGACUGUUACUGACACUGAUGCUCGAAAGUGUGGGUAUCAAACAGGAUUAGAUACCCUGGUAGUCCACACAGUAAACGAUGAAUACUCGCUGUUUGCGAUAUACAGUAAGCGGCCAAGCGAAAGCAUUAAGUAUUCCACCUGGGGAGUACGCCGGCAACGGUGAAACUCAAAUGAAUUGACGGGG
rnacentral:rRNA from 1 species